UACGAAGGGGGCUAGCGUUGUUCGGAAUUACUGGGCGUAAAGCGCGCGCAGGCGGUCUUCCAAGUCAGUGGUGAAAGCCCGGAGCUCAACUCCGGAACUGCCAUUGAAACUGUUGGACUUGAGUACGAGAGAGGUGAGUGGAAUUCCCAGUGUAGAGGUGAAAUUCGUAGAUAUUGGGAAGAACACCGGUGGCGAAGGCGGCGACCUGGUCCUUGACUGACGCUGAGGCG
rnacentral:rRNA from 1 species